ACGCUCGACACCUACGGGAGGAGCAGUGGGGAAUAUUGCACAAUGGGGGAAACCCUGAUGCAGCGACGCCGCGUGAAGGAAGAAGUAUCUCGGUAUGUAAACUUCUAUCAGCAGGGAAGAAAAUGACGGUACCUGACUAAGAAGCCCCGGCUAACUACGUGCCAGCAGCCGCGGUAAUCUGAGCGGGCUGGCAAGGC
rnacentral:rRNA from 1 species